GGAUCCAGACUUUGAUCAUGGCUCAGGAUGAACGCUAGCUACAGGCUUAACACAUGCAAGUCGAGGGGAAACGACAUCGAAAGCUUGCUUUUGAUGGGCGUCGACCGGCGCACGGGUGAGUAACGCGUAUCCAACCUGCCCACCACUUGGGGAUAACCUUGCGAAAGUAAGACUAAUACCCAAUGAUAUCUCUAGAAGACAUCUGAAAGAGAUUAAAGAUUUAUCGGUGAUGGAUGGGGAUGCGUCUGAUUAGCUUGUUGGCGGGGUAACGGCCCACCAAGGCGACGAUCAGUAGGGGUUCUGAGAGGAAGGUCCCCCACAUUGGAACUGAGACACGGUCCAAACUCCUACGGGAGGCAGCAGUGAGGAAUAUUGGUCAAUGGGCGAGAGCCUGAACCAGCCAAGUAGCGUGCAGGAUGACGGCCCUAUGGGUUGUAAACUGCUUUUAUAAGGGAAUAAAGUGAGUCUCGUGAGACUUUUUGCAUGUACCUUAUGAAUAAGGACCGGCUAAUUCCGUGCCAGCAGCCGCGGUAAUACGGAAGGUCCGGGCGUUAUCCGGAUUUAUUGGGUUUAAAGGGAGCGUAGGCCGGAGAUUAAGCGUGUUGUGAAAUGUAGACGCUCAACGUCUGCACUGCAGCGCGAACUGGUUUCCUUGAGUACGCACAAAGUGGGCGGAAUUCGUGGUGUAGCGGUGAAAUGCUUAGAUAUCACGAAGAACUCCGAUUGCGAAGGCAGCUCACUGGAGCGCAACUGACGCUGAAGCUCGAAAGUGCGGGUAUCGAACAGGAUUAGAUACCCUGGUAGUCCGCACGGUAAACGAUGGAUGCCCGCUGUUGGUCUGAACAGGUCAGCGGCCAAGCGAAAGCAUUAAGCAUCCAACCUGGGGAGUACGCCGGCAACGGUGCAACUCAAAUGAAUUGACGG
rnacentral:rRNA from 1 species